UUUUAGAUGCCAGAGAGAAAAUUACUGGUGUCAGGAUAUAACCUUAUUGUUUCACAAGUUUGACAUAACAUUCAAUGGGAAAUCAUUUUGGAUGAGUGCCACUAAAACCCACACGAAUACAAGCUGGCUUUCUGGUAUUAUUUCAGAUCCUUGAUGGAGGAAAAAUGCAUGUCUGGGAGCAAUCACACUCAAGCAUAUAUCUUCCUCUGAUGCAAUUUUGUGAAUCCAAAGUGAUAAAAAGAAGUUGUGACUUUUGACAUUACUGAAUAAAUUCUGAGGUGUAUCUCAAAUAAAGCUGUAGGAGGCAAAUAUAAAGAAUCAGCAAACACCUUUAACCUGGACUCCUUGAAACUAAUCUUGGAUUCAUUUGAGAGGGUUUGGUUGAAGACAUCAUUAUGGAAGGGAGGAAAAGGUGAAAUCUCAAGUAUUUGGAAGGCUCUGAAUAGGUUCUUAGGUUGAAGUUAGCAAACUUUAUUGCCAGCAACUCCUCCACUUUUGUUUUAAAAUAUCUUCUAAUAGUAUUUCACAAAUUUCAUUCGGCUCUAUACUACAUACAAAUAUUUAUAAAUAAAGGAUCAUAUUAU
rnacentral:lncRNA from 1 species